GAGAGAGGGAGACACAGAAUCUGAAGCAGGCUCCAGACUCCAAGCUGUCAGCACAGAGCCUGAUGUGGGGCUCGAACUCAUGGACCGUGAGAUCAUGACCUGAGCCGAAGUCAGACACUUAACUGACUGAACCACCCAGGUGCCCUGUAGGUAUGUUAUUCUUAAUUAAAUUGAAUUAAUUUAUUUACAAAUAGGUAAUAAGUUCACUUAGAAAUUUAAAAGUGCUACAAGGGAGGACAAUACAAAUUCUCCUUCUCACCCCCUUUCCUCUGGUCACUUACUUCCCAUUCCUGGAGGCAGCCAGUUUUGUUACCAGUUUUGUGAGUGGUUUUGGCACCAUAGACAAGCAUGCAUGCUUACACAUAGUACACACAUGUGCACACACACACUCACAUGUAUUCUCCUGCUUUUUGUUUUUAACAGGCCUAAACGUGUGCUAACUUAGCACUAUACGUGAAUCAUUUUGAUACAUACCCAAAAAACCCUUCCAGGAUGUUGUCCAAGUCACAAUGCAGCCGAUCAGCAAUUUACUAACUCCUUGCACCGCGCAUCUUCUGAAGCCUGUUUUCUUUUGGUUUUCCCACGCCCUUAUUGGCCUGUUCUCCCCAGCAUCCUCUGGGAUCCUUUGACUUUCCAUCUUGGGGUUUCCAAGGGCUUCUUUGCAGCCUGCUCCUAUUCUCCCCUGUAUAUCCUUUGGAAUGAUCAUAUUAAUCUAUUAUGUGGUUUGAUGCUCAGUCAUAUACAGAUGUCAUUCUGAUGGAGUUCUCUGGACAGACCUCCUUGCUAAGAUUAAGAAUGACAUCAUCAACUCCCUAUAGGAAACCUGGUUAUCUUCAUGAGAUAUCCUCUAGGCAUCUCAAAGCCAACUGGUCCAUACGAGAACUCAUUCCCAGCCUCUCCCUUUCCUCCUCCAGUGUUCCAGUUCCUAGCCACAAACCUGCUGACCUAUGCACAAGAGAUUGAUGUCAUCGAAACUAACCAGUCACCCCAGCCAGAAAUCAGCUCGUCUUCUCACUGUCUCCUUCCCUUUUACUCUCCAGAUUCUGACAGUCUUCAGGUUUUCCUAAUUUAGAUGUGAAAUCUGUCACAGCAAUCCCUUCUGUCUGUUUCCAAAACCCUCCUUAGUUUAAGUCCUCGUCACUUUUUACUAAGAUUAUUGAAAACUUGGCUGCUUCUCUGUCUUCUCACCCCUCUGAUUCAUCUUCCACAAGGCGGCUGCUAGGGUGAGCUUCUCCAAAUCCGCUUCAUCACCGUCUUGCUUAAAACCUGACCAUGGCUUUCUGUGGAUUUUAAGGCAUUUAAGGAACUUGACUUUCAGAAAGACAGUGCUUUUUGGACCUGAAGUUAACACUUUCCUCCCUGGUUAAUGCUGCCCUGUUCUGAACUUCUCUGUUCAAAGGUUGGCAUGAAGACAGCUACUGAGAGCUUGAAGGAGGAUCCAGCCUGCUUCUCACACCACUGAAGUUCCCUCUUCAUCACCUUGGCUUUGCACUUCCCGGAAUGGAACUGCUUGUUAACUCUCUGAACUAGCCCAAAGCAGCCAGGCACCAGACAGAGACAUCUCUGAUAACUUGCUCAGCUUUUAACAGUGGAUUGAGUUCAAAUCUCUUUGUACAGGAGCCUAACUAGGACCAGGUGGAGACCACAGGGCGCCAGGCACUAUGAAGAACUGGUCCGAUCGUUGCAGGUGUUUGCGGUUGGAACGGGCUGCCUCAAGAGGUGGUGAGGUCCUGUUAACUGCGCUGACACCAAGGCCACUCCACAGGGGAGAAGAGGGUGCAGAUGAUGUUGGACGUGCUUCCUUCUCAACCGGAAAGUUUCACAUCCAAUAGGGAAGAGGGAGUCAGAGUGAGAGGUGGGUAUGGCACUCGUGAGGCAAUGGCCGAUGGCUCUUGCCUGCUUUCAAGCUCAGAACGUAUCAGUCAAGAGUCUUAUCAACUUAUUGAUAUCCCUUAAUCAAUGGGAACUCCCUGGGUGGCCAGAGUCAGAAUACAUUGCUCCUUGAGUUAAUCCCCUCCACUGCGGUGUAUGCUUCCUCAGUUGCUGUGCAUUUUAGGUGUUUGCGUGGUAGCUUCUCAUCUGAGAAUUUAUGCCUUCUGUGGCUGAGGCUUGUGCCUCGGCAUAAAUAAAAGAGUUGCUUAAGAAAUCAUUUUUUCUCUAAGUGUAUUUUAAAGGAAAUCAAUAUAAAUUCAAUUUGUCCUUUUUUUCUCCUGUUUUGGUUCCUCAAGCUCUAGAACCCCAGAGAUGGUCAGAAAACCUUCCCUCAUUGAAUGCCCUCAGAGCCAUCAACCCUCUCCACUGCCCUGUUGAGAAUAACUUCAUCAGUGGAUAAUAUUCUGACAUACGUCAUCUGUGUAUUAUAAGGUUUAACUGGGAUGGUUUUCUCAGAACUUCAAGACAGUUCAACUGAAGCAGAUCAGUGAAUAUUUUUUUAAAUUAACCUGGCAUUAAUACUGGUUUAACAUCAGUGAAAAGCCAAGUAGAGGUUUUGAACGUAAGGAAGCUGGUUUCAGACGAGUAACCUCUUUGAUCCAGGAUUGUACUAAACACAUACACACUAUCUGUUCUAAUCUUCAACAUUCUGUAAAAAGAAGAAACUGAGGCUAAGAGAUUAAGAUAGCUUGCCUGGUUGUGAACCAAAUGCCUCACCUUGAAGGUGGCAGGACCACCAUUUGAACCCCCCCAUUCUAAAUACCAUUGUUUUUCGAAUAAA